AAAAAAAAAUUAAGAAAAGAGGAUUUCGAGUUGCCAAAUCAUUUUCAUUUAUUCCAACGGCAUCCUGUAUCUUCUGCGAAAGGAGUUAUAAGAAUAGCCAAGAAAGAAAAAGGACACGUUUCGUUUUCCGUUGGCCAUUCGAUGGAACCCUAAACGUCUUGCGUAACCGGAAGCCAGUCAGCGGAUAUCGACAGACAAAGCCACGACCGUAAUGCAAAUUCCUCGAAUCGAUUCUAUGAGUUAUUUUUACGGUAAUUUGAAACAGUAAUUUUAGAUAGAACAGAAUGGAACAAUUACUUCAAAUAAUGUUGUUUCAUAAACUUAAUAGAAACAACAGAAUUUAAUAUAUGAAACAAUAUCAUAAUUUCUGUUUGGA